rnacentral:tRNA from 2 species
GCCGAAGUGGCGGAACUGGUAGACGCCCAGGACUUAAAAUCCUGUGUUCAGCAAUGAGCGUGCGGGUUCGAUUCCCGCCUUCGGCACCG